rnacentral:rRNA from 1 species
AUCCUGGCUCAGGACGAACGCUGGCGGCGUGGAUUAGGCAUGCAAGUCGAGCGGGAUCGCGGGUUUCAAUUCUUCGGAAAAGAUUCCCGUGGUGAGAGCGGCGAACGGGUGAGUAAUGCGCAGACAACUUGCCCCCCGGACUGGGAUAGCCCCUCGAAAGAGGGAUUAAUACCGGAUAUGGUCGUCCCGCACAAGCGGGAUUAUCCAAAGGUGCCUUCUUCGGAAGGUGUCACCAGGGGAUGGGUUUGCGUUCUAUCAGCUUGUUGGUGGGGUAACGGCUCACCAAGGCAAUGACGGAUAGCUGGUCUGAGAGGAUGGUCAGCCACACUGGGACUGAGACACUGCCCAGACUCCUACGGGAGGCUGCAGUCGAGAAUCAUUCGCAAUGCGCGCAAGCGUGACGAUGCGACGCCGCGUGGAGGAUGACGGCCUUCGGGUUGUAAACUCCUGUCAUGAGGGAACAAAGCUUGCGGGUUAAUACCCCGGGAGUGUGAUGGUACCUCAAGAGGAAGUCACGGCUAACUCUGUGCCAGCAGCCGCGGUAAUACAGAGGUGGCAAGCGUUGUCCGGAUUUACUGGGCGUAAAGGGUGCGUAGGCGGUACGGUAUGUCGGAUGUGAAAUCUCGCAGCUCAACUGUGAAACGUCAUUCGAAACUGCCGAACUAGAGUACUGGAGAGGAGAGCGGAAUUCUUGGAGUAGCGGUGAAAUGCGUAGAUAUCAAGAAGAACACCGGUGGCGAAGGCGGCUCUCUGGACAGUUACUGACGCUGAGGUACGAAAGCCAGGGGAGCGAAGAGGAUUAGAUACCCUCGUAGUCCUGGCAGUAAACGAUGUGCACUUGGUUUGGGGAGGAGUUAUCCCCUUUCCGUACCGGAGUUAACGCGUUAAGUGCACCGCCUGGGGAGUACGGCCGCAAGGCUAAAACUCAAAGGAAUUGACGGGGGCCCGCACAAGCGGUGGAGCAUGUGGCUUAAUUCGAUGCAACGCGAAGAACCUUACCUGGGUUGACAUGCCCGUCGUAUUCUCCUGAAAGGGAGAAGUCAGUUCGGCUGGACGGUGCACAGGUGCUGCNNAUGGCUGUCGUCAGCUCGUGCCGUGAGGUGUUGGGUUAAGUCCCGCCAACGAGCGCAACCCUUGUGUUUAGUUGCCACUCCCGAUUCUGUCGGGAAGCACUCUAGACAGACUGCCCGUGACAAGCGGGAGGAAGGAGGGGAUGACGUCAAGUCAGUAUGGUCCUUAUACCCAGGGCUGCGCACGUGCUACAAUGGCCGGUACAGAGGGCGGCGACGCCGCGAGGCGAAGCAAAUCCCCAAAACCGGUCUUAGUUCGGAUCGCAGUCUGCAAUUCGACUGCGUGAAGUUGGAAUCGCUAGUAAAUGCGUAUCAGCAAUGGCGCAUUGAAUACGUUCCCGGGCCUUGUACACACCGCCCGUCACAUCAUGAAAGCUGAUUGCACCCGAAGUCACUGGGCCAAUCCCGCUUUGCGGGAGGGCAGGUGCCGAAGGUGUGAGCAGUGACUUGGGAUGAAGUC